GCCUAAAGCGUCCGUAGCCUGUUCUAUAAGUUUCCGGUUAAAUCCAUUAGCUCAACUAAUGGGCCGCCGAAAAUACUGUGGAACUAGGGAGUGGGAGAGGUAGACGGUAUUCGGUAGGAAGGGGUAAAAUCCUUUGAUCUAUUGAUGACCACCAGUGGCGAAGGCGGUCUACCAGAACACGUUCGACGGUGAGGGAUGAAAGCUGGGGGAGCAAACCGGAUUAGAUACCCGGGUAGUCCCAGCUGUAAACGAUGCAGACUCGGUGAUGUAUUGGCUUGUGGCCAGUGCAGUGCCGCAGGGAAGCCGUUAAGUUUGCCGCCUGGGAAGUACGUACGCAAGUAUGAAACUUAAAGGAAUUGGCGGGGGAGCACCACAAGGGGUGAAGCCUGCGGUUCAAUUGGAGUCAACGCCAGAAAUCUUACCCGGAGAGACAGCAGAAUGAAGGUCAAGCUGAAGACUUUACCAGACAAGCUGAGAGGUGGUGCAUGGCCGUCGCCAGCUCGUGCCGUGAGAUGUCCUGUUAAGUCAGGUAACGAGCGAGACCCUUGCCUCUAGUUGCCACCAUUGCUCUCUGGAGCAGUGGGGCGAAUUAGCGGGACCGCCGCAGUUAAUGCGGAGGAAGGAAAGGGCUACGGCAGGUCAGUAUGCCCCGAA
rnacentral:rRNA from 1 species